rnacentral:rRNA from 1 species
GUAGGGAAUCUUGCGCAAUGGGCGAAAGCCUGACGCAGCCAUGCCGCGUGAAUGAUGAAGGUCUUAGGAUUGUAAAAUUCUUUCACCGGGGACGAUAAUGACGGUACCCGGAGAAGAAGCCCCGGCUAACUUCGUGCCAGCAGCCGCGGUAAUACGAAGGGGGCUAGCGUUGCUCGGAAUUACUGGGCGUAAAGGGAGCGUAGGCGGAUAGUUUAGUCAGAGGUGAAAGCCCAGGGCUCAACCUUGGAAUUGCCUUUGAUACUGGCUAUCUUGAGUAUGGAAGAGGUAUGUGGAACUCCGAGUGUAGAGGUGAAAUUCGUAGAUAUUCGGAAGAACACCAGUGGGGAAGGCGACAUACUGGUCCAUUACUGACGCUGAGGCUCGAAAGCGUGGGGAGCAAACAGGAUUAGAUACCCUGGUAGUCC